CACGUAGGCGGUUCGUCAAGUCAGGUGUGAAAUCCCUCGGCUCAACCGGGGAACUGCAUCUGAUACUGGCGAACUCGAGGAUGGUAGGGGUGAGCGGAACUCCAGGUGGAGCGGUGAAAUGCGUAGAUAUCUGGAGGAACACCGGUGGCGAAGGCGGCUCACUGGACCAUCUCUGACGCUGAGGUGCGAAAGCCAGGGUAGCAAACAGGAUUAGAUACCCUGGUAGUCC
rnacentral:rRNA from 1 species